UACGGAGGAUGCGAGCGUUAUCCGGAUUUAUUGGGUUUAAAGGGUGCGUAGGCGGGAUGCCAAGUCAGCGGUAAAAAUGCGGUGCUCAACGCCGUCGAGCCGUUGAAACUGGCGUUCUUGAGUGGGCGAGAAGUAUGCGGAAUGCGUGGUGUAGCGGUGAAAUGCAUAGAUAUCACGCAGAACUCCGAUUGCGAAGGCAGCAUACCGGCGCCCUACUGACGCUGAGGCACGAAAGCGUGGGUAUCGAACCGG
rnacentral:rRNA from 1 species